GCGGGAGGAAGCUUGCUUCCUUGCCGGCGAGCGGCGGACGGGUGAGUAAGGUAUGGGGAUCUGGCCGAAGGCGGGGGAUAACCACUGGAAACGGUGGCUAAUACCGCAUAAUCUCUAAGGAGCAAAGUGGGGGACCGUUCAGGCCUCACACCUUCGGAUGAACCCAUAUGAGAUUAGCUAGUAGGUGGGGUAAUGGCUCACCUAGGCGACGAUCUCUAGCUGGUCUGAGAGGAUGAUCAGCCACACUGGGACUGAGACACGGCCCAGACUCCUACGGGAGGCAGCAGUGGGGAAUAUUGCACAAUGGGCGCAAGCCUGAUGCAGCCAUGCCGCGUGUAUGAAGAAGGCCUUCGGGUUGUAAAGUACUUUCAGUCGUGAGGAAGGUGUUAAGGUUAAUAACCUUAGCAAUUGACGUUAGCGACAGAAGAAGCACCGGCUAACUCCGUGCCAGCAGCCGCGGUAAUACGGAGGGUGCGAGCGUUAAUCGGAAUUACUGGGCGUAAAGGGCACGCAGGCGGUUAAUUAAGUUGGAUGUGAAAUCCCCGGGCUUAACCUGGGAAUGGCAUUCAAGACUGGUUAACUAGAGUCUUGUAGAGGGGGGUAGAAUUCCAUGUGUAGCGGUGAAAUGCGUAGAGAUGUGGAGGAAUACCGGUGGCGAAGGCGGCCCCCUGGACAAAGACUGACGCUCAUGUGCGAAAGCGUGGGGAGCAAACAGGAUUAGAUACCCUGGUAGUCCACGCUGUAAACGAUGUCGAUUUGGAGGUUGUGGUCAUGAACUGUGGCCUCCGGAGCUAACGCGUUAAAUCGACCGCCUGGGGAGUA
rnacentral:rRNA from 1 species